GUGCUCACUUCGGCAGCACAUACACUAAAAUCAGAACGAUACAGAGAACAGUAACAUGGCCCCUGAGCAAGGAUAACAUGUAAAUUCAUGAAGCAUUACAUAUUAGA
rnacentral:snRNA from 1 species